AGAGGAGGCGUAGGUGGUUGCGGGCGCAGGUCGUCCGAGGAAAGUCCGGGCUUCCGAAAGACCAAACUUGCUGGGUAACGCCCAGUGCGGGUGACCGUGAGGAUAGUGCCACAGAAACAUACCGCCGAUGGAGCUUUGGCUCACAGGUAAGGGUGCAAGGGUGCGGUAAGAGCGCACCAGCAGCAUCGAGAGGUGCUGGCUCGGUAAACCCCGGUUGGAAGCAAGGUCGUAGGAGCUAUGGUUGGUCUUUUUCCAGCUCCGAGCGGGCUCGUCCCGCGUAAUCCGCUAGAGGUGUUUGGCAACAAACAUCCCAGAUAGAUAACCGCCCUCGCUGUGGGUGACCACAGAUGAGAACAGAACCCGGCUUAUGUCCUGCUCUUCCC
rnacentral:RNase_P_RNA from 2 species